rnacentral:rRNA from 1 species
ACUUUCAACAACGGAUCUCUUGGUUCUGGCAUCGAUGAAGAACGCAGCGAAAUGCGAUAAGUAAUGUGAAUUGCAGAAUUCAGUGAAUCAUCGAAUCUUUGAACGCACGUUGCGCCCGCCAGUAUUCUGGCGGGCAUGCCUGUCCGAGCGUCAUUUCAACCC